rnacentral:rRNA from 2 species
AUCUAAGUACCCCGAGGAAAAGAAAUCAACCGAGAUUCCCCCAGUAGCGGCGAGCGAACGGGGAGGAGCCCAGAGCCUGAAUCAGCAUGUGUGUUAGUGGAAGCGUCUGGAAAGGCGCGCGAUACAGGGUGACAGCCCCGUACACAAAAGCGCAUGUGCUGUGAGCUCGAUGAGUAGGGCGGGACACGUGGUAUCCUGUCUGAAUAUGGGGGGACCAUCCUCCAAGGCUAAAUACUCCUGACUGACCGAUAGUGAACCAGUACCGUGAGGGAAAGGCGAAAAGAACCCCGGCGAGGGGAGUGAAAAAGAACCUGAAACCGUGUACGUACAAGCAGUGGGA